rnacentral:rRNA from 1 species
GAUGAACGCUGCCAGAAUGCUUAACACAUGCAAGUCUUUGGCGAAGCUGUGCUUGCACCGCCUAGCCAAGGCGGACGGGUGAGUAACGCGUAAGGAACUUGCCCUGCAGUCAGGGAUAACAGACGGAAACGACUGAUAAGACCUGGUAAAGUCAGGCGGACUCAUGUCCAGCCUGAUGAAAAGAGAUGCUGCAGGAGAGCCUUGCGUCCUAUUAGCUUGUUGGUGGGGUAACGGCCCACCAAGGCGAUGAUAGGUAGCCGGCCUGAGAGGGUGGACGGCCACAAGGGGACUGAGAUACGGCCCUUACUCCUACGGGAGGCAGCAGUGGGGAAUAGUGGACAAGGGGGGCAACCCUGAUCCAGCAAUUCUGUGUGCACGAUGAAGGUUUUCGGAUUGUAAAGUGCUUUCAGCAGGGAAGAAAAAAAUGACGGUACCUGCAGAAGAAGCGACGGCUAAAUACGUG